rnacentral:rRNA from 1 species
GUGGGGAAUAUUGGACAAUGGGCGAAAGCCUGAUCCAGCAAUGCCGCGUGCAGGAAGAAGGCCUUCGGGUUGUAAACUGCUUUUGUACGGAACGAAAAGGCUCUGGUUAAUACCUGGGGCUCAUGACGGUACCGUAAGAAUAAGCACCGGCUAACUACGUGCCAGCAGCCGCGGUAAUACGUAGGGUGCAAGCGUUAAUCGGAAUUACUGGGCGUAAAGCGUGCGCAGGCGGUUUUGUAAGACAGGCGUGAAAUCCCCGGGCGCAACCUGGGAAUGGCGCUUGUGACUGCAAGGCUGGAGUGCGGCAGAGGGGGAUGGAAUUCCGCGUGUAGCAGUGAAAUGCGUAGAUAUGCGGAGGAACACCGAUGGCGAAGGCAAUCCCCUGGGCCUGCACUGACGCUCAUGCACGAAAGCGUGGGGAGCAAACAGGAUUAGAAACCUGGGUAGUCC